GUGACAGAAGAGAGUGAGCACAUAUGGCCUUUCUUGCACCGAGUCGAUGCUUGAAGUUAUGCGUGCUUACUUUCUAUCUGUCAC
rnacentral:pre_miRNA from 1 species